GACGCUGAGGGGCGAAAGCGUGGGGAGCAAACAGGCUUAGAUGCCCUGGUAUGCCACGCCGUAAACGAUGAGUGCUAAGUGUUUGGUGGGUUCCGCCCCUUAGGGCUGCAGCUAACGCUUUAAGCCGACCGUCUGGGGAGUACGGCCGGAAGGUUGAGACUCAAAGGAAUUGACGGGGGCCCGCACCAGCGGUGGAGCAUGUGGUUUAAUUCGAAGCAACGCGAAGAACCUUACCAGGUCUUGACAUCCUUUGACAACUCUGGAGACAGAGCUUUCCCUUCGGGGACAAAGUGACAGGGGGUGCAUGGUUGUCGUCAGCUCGUGUCGUGAGAUGUUGGGUUA
rnacentral:rRNA from 1 species